GGAAGAGGACUGGCUCCUGGGGAUAGCACCUUAGAUAGAGCAGUGCUGAGCAGGCUCAGGGGAGCAGAGGAAAGCCUCCAGCCUGAUACCUGCCAGGCUGAGACCCCUGAAAGAAAGGGCCGAGAAGGUACAAGGGCCAAAGGGAAGUGGCCCAGGGAGCGUGAGCAGUAGAGGGGAGAGGAGGAGGCCAGGACAUGGCUGCUGCCAGAAGGUCCCUGGGCCGGAACCCAGAGUAGUGGGCAGGCCUAGGUCCUCCCCACCCCCUGACACUGCACCUGGCUGUGGAGGAGUGUGGCCCGAGACAGACUAUCGCUUGCCCCUGAGGCAGAGGGCUAGACUCUGGGGCUGUAGUGGGCCAUGAGGGCAGGUGCAGACGGAGGACUCUGGAUACCCCCGGGAGGGGAGAGAACCGAGUGGGGCACAGCCAGAGGGCUGUGUCCACAAAAGGAUGCCACAAGCCAGGGAGCAACGUGGGUCCCAGACACAGCAGAGUAGACAAUGGGUGAGACACCACCUGCAGAGAGUGCUCCACAGCUGGACAGAGCUAAUUCCCGGAGCAACCAGCAGGAGGUGCCACGGUGGUGGCUGAAGUGAUUGAACUGCAGGAUUUUGUAUAAUAGGCCUGACCCUGCACGUACUUAUUAAGCAUAAUUGGAGCACCUCAAGUCCCUCAAGAUCUGGGAGGAGGAGAACUGCAAAAAACCUGCACCAUUGAAGCCACUCCGAGCUGUCUCAAUCCUUCUAAAAGGGCAAGAAAUGCAACAUGCCUCACGACAACGAUGACGUAUUAGAAAGUUACUGAAACUAAUUAAGACAAGAGCAACGUACCAUAUUUUAAUAGUGAUGACAACCUGUCCGCAGGAUGUGACCUCCAUGAAAGGAGAUAUGCAGAACUCCUUCCCUUCCCAAAGCAUGCCGAAGCAUUUCCUGGAAAAUGGAUACAGCCAGGAGAUGCUGCAACAGCAGCAUACGAGCCUGCACUCUCCCCUCUCUCUCUCUUUUCUGCCCAUGUGAGGCACAUCUCUUCACCUUCAAACCCACCAGCACUUGCAAUGCAUGAAAGAUGGCCAAAAUGUUAUCAGAAAAUCAGCCACCACAUUUUUUUUGUGUGGAUUAAACAAAACAUUUAUCCUUGUUAAGGUCCUAAUUUGUAAACAUUCCAGCUGCUGUCGUUCCCCAUGAUAGCCAGCACAUCUUGUGAGCUUAAAUGAGGUUUGUCAUUCUGCAAGAUGAAGCAGUAGUCUAGCUGAAAGGGACCAGUUUUGGGGGAAGGUUUGGGUCUCCCAUGAGAGAAACUAAACCCUCCCUGCAGCCACUCCAGUCCUCCUAGGGCCAGCAAUGAAUGACAAUAUUUGCUUAAUG